CGGGAUUUUGGGGGCGAGAUGAGUUUUAUCCCAGUCCAACUGGCCCGCAAAGUCCCGCU
rnacentral:pre_miRNA from 1 species